UAGAUCGAAAGCAGACACAAAAUUUAAUAUGGGCAAAUUUAUAAUCCUUGUUGCCCUGAUUUGCACGGUGUUUGAAAUUUCUUUGGCAUCCACGACAACUGAAGAUGAGAGUCUCCCAUUUAAACAACAAACGGAAGAGCAGCCCGGCUCUGUUGCUAUCAAAAUCGUCAAACCACUGCUUGAAUAUUACCAACUUACCAACAAAGAGUCAGAAAGAAGUGAUUUAAGUGAUAGCGAGCUAAAGGUGUUCAACAAAACGUUAUUUCAUCAAGAAAUUAUUAGGUCUCUAGUUAAUGAAUUACGAUUAGUGAGUGAUUCUCAAAAAGGGACCAACGAAGUUCUCAUUAAUGAAUAUCUUUCUCAGAUCAGUUUCCAAAAGGAAAUUAUUAGUAAGCUAAUCAACAAUACAAAAUCAAAUGAAUCAGUAGAACCUGCUAAAAAGUGGGGAGAGUGUGAAUGUCAACUAAAAGUACUUAGUUCUAAUAUUAAAGAAAAAGAUAGUGAAAUUGAAAAAUUAAAUGUUCAACUUAACGAGCAGAAAGAAACCCAGAAAGUAAUUCAGUUACAAUUAGAGGACACUCAGAGAAAGUUAGUAAAUUAAGAGACAGCCCAAAAAUAAUAUCAAACUGCUAUUGAUAAUUUGAUUGGGUCAUCGCAAGAAGAUCCUAUCUCUGGCUGUAUUCCCUUUGAAAAUUAUCCGGGUAUUCAUCAAAUAACAGUUCUUAACGCUGAUCCGUUCAAUGUUCUUUGCGAUAGUAAAACAGCAGGAAAGGGAUGGAUAGUUAUACAACAGCGGAUAGGUGAAAAUGAGACGAAUUUUAAUAGGGAUUGGGUGUCUUAUCGUCAAGGAUUUGGCUCUUGAGAUGGAGAUUUUUUCUUAGGAUUGGAUAAGAUAUAUAGCCUAACACAAUCUGAGCCCGUAGAACUUUACGUACACUUAGUUGUUAUAGAUGGAGAAAUCAAAUAUGCUCAAUAUGACAACUUUCAAAUAUUAGAUAACAACAAUAAUUUUAUAUUGAAGAGUUUAGGUAAUUUCACAGGAAUAUUCUGAAGGAAUGCCAUUCUCAACAUUCGAUCGCGACAAUGAUGCAGCUACCCAUAAUUGUGCGGAAGUUUUCGUUGGUGGUUGGUGGUAUAGGAAUUGUUUUGAUUCUAAUUUAAAUUCAAUUGGAGUAGAUCUGAAUUGGAACAUAGACAUGAUACUUAACGAAACGAAGAUGCUUAUACGCCCCAAAACGAACUAAGAGCACAUCUGGUAUGACCCAAAAAUUAAACAUCAUUCUUGCGCAGAUUCCAAAGUUAACAAAACACUUUAAUUUAUGUCAAUCUAUUGAGUUCACAUAACACUAAAAAGUAAUUUUAUAAUUGUAUAAAAAUCAUAAAGCGUCAUUGAUAAUCAAAAUAAUUAUUGUUGUCAACAAAAUAUUAAACUAAACAACAUCAGCUAUGAAAUAAAUACACUUUGCCUUCAAUUUAAAACUGUA